UUAAGCUAAUAAGGGUAUAUGGUGGAUGCCUUGGCGUCCAGAGCCGAUGAAGGUCGUGGGAUAGCUGCGAAAAGCUUCGGGGAGCCGCUAACCAGGCUAUGAUCCGGAGAUGACCGAGAUUGGGUAACCAAACAGGGAAACCCCUGUUGACGGCAAUGCCGUCGGGAACGCGGAGAACUGAAACAUCUAAGUACCCGCAGGAGAGGAAAGAAAACUCGACUCCCUAAGUAGCGGCGAGCGAACGGGGAUCAGCCUAAACCGGUGUAGUGCCAAGCUUGUGGGCGUUGCUAUACCGGUGUCGUGGGACCUUCAGAUCCAACCACAAUAGGGUCAAGGAGUUACAAAGUGAUCGGUUAGACGAAUGGCAUGGGAAGGCCAGCCGCAGCGGGUGACAGCCCCGUAGUCGAAAACCGAGCACCUCCUGAAGUCAUCCCGAGUAGUGCCAGACACGGGAAACCUGGUAUGAAUUCGCGGGGACCACCCCGUAAGGCUAAGUACUCCUGGACGACCGAUAGCGUAAUAGUAGCGCGAGCGAAAGGUGAAAAGUACCCCUGUUAGGGGAGUGAAAUAGUACCUGAAACCAUAUACCUACAAGCUGUCGAAGGCCUAUGGCCCCUCGGGGCAACGGCUGACGGCGUGCCUUUUGCAUAAUGAUCCGGCGAGUUACGCUGUAUGGCGAGGUUAAGGGUCUAAGGCCCGGAGCCGAAGGGAAACCGAGUGUGAAUAGCGCGAUUUGAGUCAUGCGGCGUAGACCCGAAAGCGAGUGAUCUAUCCAUGGGCAGGCUGAAGCGGAUGUAACAGUCCGUGGAGGGCCGAACGGGUAUAGGUUGAAAACUGUUCCGAUGACCUGUGGAUAGGAGUGAAAGGCUAAUCAAACUCGGAGAUAGCUGGUUCUCCCCGAAAUAGCUUUCGGGCUAGCGUCAGGUAAUUAGCGUGCGGGGGUAGAGACACUGAUUGGGAUAGGGGCCCUUCGGGGUACCCUACUCAGCCAAACUCCGAAUACCGCACGUGGUAUCCUGGCAGUCAGACUAUGGGCGAUAAGGUCCGUGGUCGAGAGGGAAACAGCCCAGACCGCCAGCUAAGGUCCCUAAUGUGUGCUAAGUGCAGAGAAGGAACUGAAGUCUCGAAGACAGCCAGGAUGUUGGCUUAGAAGCAGCCAUCAUUUAAAGAGUGCGUAACAGCUCACUGGUCGAGAGGCUUUGGGCCGAAAAUGAACGGGGCUCAAGUGCACAACCGAAGCUGCGGAUUGCAAGGAGUCGUUGGCUCCUUGCAGUGGUAGGGGAGCGUUCUGACUGGGUGAAGGGCUACGGUAACGAGGCCUGGACGGUUCAGAAGUGAUUAUGCCGGAAUGAGUAACGAUAAAGCAGGUGAGAAUCCUGCUCGCCGAAAACCUAAGGUUUCCUGGGCACGGUAAAUCCGCCCAGGGUUAGUCGGGUCCUAAGGCGAGGCCGAAAGGCGUAGUCGAUGGUCAACGGGUUAAUAUUCCCGUACUGCCAACUAGCGUUUGACCGAUGGGGUGACGCGGAAGUGAAGGUGAUCAGGCUGACAGAUGCCUGUCUAAGCCCGAGGGCGGUGUGUAGGCAAAUCCGCACACGGAAACCCGGAGGUGAAUGCGAGCGCACUAGCGCGAAGUCACUGGAUCAACCGCCUAGAAAAUCCUCUAGGGAGCUACGUUGGUAUCCGUACCAAAACUGACACAGGUAGGUGGGGUGAGAAUCCCAAGGCGCUCGAGAGAACUGCUGUUAAGGAACUCGGCAAAAUGACCCCGUAACUUCGGGAGAAGGGGUGCCCUUGAGAGUGUAGGCCUUCGCGGUCGAAGCUUUUGGGGGCCGCAGAGAAUUGGCCCAACCAACUGUUUACUAAAAACACAGGUCUAUGCUAACUCUUAACGAGGAUGUAUAUAGACUGACGCCUGCCCAAUGCCGGAAGGUUAAGGGGAGUGGUUAGCGUAAGCGAAGCUGCGAACUGAAGCCCCGGUGAAUGGCGGCCGUAACUAUGACGGUCCUAAGGUAGCGAAGUUCCUUGUCGGGUAAGUUC
rnacentral:rRNA from 1 species